AUACGGAAGGUCCGGGCGUUAUCCGGAUUUAUUGGGUUUAAAGGGAGCGCAGGCGGAGAUGCAAGCGUGACGUCAAAUUUCGGGGCUCAACCCCGUCUCGCGUCGCGAACUGCGUCCCUUGGUUGCGGGAAGGGGAGGCGGAACUCGUGGUGUAGCGGGUAAAUGCAUAGAUAUCACGAAGAACUCCGAUCGCGAAGGCAGCCUUCCGGCCCGUCAACGACGCUCAUGCUCGAAGGUGCGGGUAUCAAACAGGAUUAGAUACCCUGGUAGUCCGCACAGUAAACGAUGGACACCCGCGGUUUGGCCUGUAUGGCUGAGCCGCCAAGCGAAAGCGUUAAGUGUCCCACCUGGGGAGUACGCCGGCAACGGUGAAACUCAAAUGAAUUGACGGGG
rnacentral:rRNA from 1 species